rnacentral:lncRNA from 1 species
CGUACGAAUAUAGAAACCCAAUUAACGCUACUUAUAAUUCUCGGGAUUGUGGAGAGGAAGAUAAUGACAUGUUAACUAAUCAAGAUUGGACUAACGUUACAAUUCUGUUAGAUUUUUUAGAACAUUUUCAUGUGGCUACAAAUGCUUUAUCUGGCCAAUACUAUCCGACUGUUUCUAACUGUUUAGUAUAUAUUGCCGCACUUGCAAAUUUAUUUGUUGAUUUUAACGAGGGAGGGGAUAUUUAUGAAUAUGCAAUAACAGAAAUGAAAAAGAAGUUUAAAAAAUAUUUUUUUCCAAUCCCU